CUGGGGGAGAAGCAAAUCUCAGUGAAGACAAAUGACAACAAAAAUGAGAAAAAAAUAGUUGUCUAUGCUUCAGUGUAUCUUAUUUUGUUUUAGAAUGGUUUGGUUGUCACACUCUUGCUCAAUUCGUCAUUGGAACAUGAACCCAAAUGAAUUUUAGACAUUGCGGUGUAUGCUACUGAUUUUACAUGCCAAUAAAUAUAUCUGAAGGUGUGCUAUAAAAAAUUCUGCAAAUUAUUAUCGAAAAUCAAACCAUGGUAACCUUUUUUGUACCUUCCCAUCACCUUUUUUUGGAAUUCUAAGUGCUUACAUUAUUCUAAUGUUAUUCAGAAAUUCAGUGAAAAAUGUUGCAUAAUGUUGCCAUAUCUAUGUCCUAUCUCCUAGCUCCUAGCUCCUCUAUCGUUAUUUUCACAAUUAGUGACGGAGCUGAUAUGAGAAUGCAUGUGGGUGUCAUAACGCAUAACUUGGAAAAG
rnacentral:lncRNA from 1 species